rnacentral:pre_miRNA from 1 species
UGUGCACCAGUGGGGUCCCUCGGCCUGGCCUGCGCCCUCUUGCUAUCUGGGACCCCUCAGGGGAUGUUGGAGAGCCAAUUUCAGCUCGAUCCCGCAGGCCAGGCUGAGGGACCCCACUGGUGCACA